rnacentral:RNase_P_RNA from 2 species
GUCAUUCAUACUUUCAGGUCCCACACUCGCUGUGGUCGUCCUUUCUUUCGUGACUGGGUUAAGGUCCGAGUCUUUCAAUCCCCUCAGGAACGUGUUUCUUGGCCUUCCUUAAACUCUCAAGGGGUUUGCUCUUGUAAACAUUCGAGCAGGGCUCAUCAUCAGAAAUCGCUCUCCUCUCUUUGGCUGGCUGGAUCGAUCGUGUUGGGACAGCUUCAAAUGGAUUGUCAUGCUACUCUUGACCGGACUCGUAGAUCAAACAGAUCGGUCCGAAGACAUCGAGCCGCCUCGACGAGGACCUUUCGCUCCUACAAGUUACCCGGUCGAUUUGUUGCAACAUGCUAGUUGACUGCCCGUUCUGGCUACGAUCCUCCAGUCAGCUCCGAGAGGCGAGAUUGGGAACGAUGGGUGGGGGUAGCGGGGGCUGUCUGUUGGCCGACAGCCUUCGAUUUAGUGCAAUCCGCGGUGAGCGAGUUACUGCUCGCUCAACUCAAUUCGGACUACUCUUGGC